ACAUGUAAGUCUUAAGACGAGAAAUAUGGAACGCCACCCUGAAGUAAACCGAAAGCGGUUCCAGGGUGGGCGACGGUUCCCUAGAGGAGAGUUUUUCAGUGACCUGCAAGUGGCACAUACCAUUGCUGUGACGACACAAUGACGAUGCGAAAGGCAUUUUUCUCAACCUCCCACGAAAAAAAAAAAAAAAAACUAACAGACCUGCCCUGAAGCUAAGCGACAGCAAAAUUAUAGAAGUAAGUGCUAUUUGUAAUUUGAAACAUUUUUUUAUUUUGGGCGAAGGUCCGCAAGAAAGGGAAUACAAAAAGAGCGCACUCGCAUCUGCUUAUAUUGGCGUCUCCUUUUUGGCAUUUCUUCUUCAUACCCACACUUUGAGAGAAAUUCCAGAAGCCAUAUCCUGAGGAAUCUCUGCCCACCACUAACGCUAGGUGAUUGCUAUGCGUGGUUGCGAAAAUAUCAGACAAAGCGAAAGCAGCAAAUACCAUAACCUAAACCAACAAAAAAGCGAAAUGAAUGGAAUUAGCCCAUUCACACGGAUCAAUAAAACUUCUCGGUCACCUGACCGACGGGUAAUAACACCCAACGAUCAAGCGGUUGACCCUGCCGCGCAUGAUACAACCCCAUCAGAUAAAACAAUCCGAUCAACUGAUAAUUUGAUCGUAGUUAAUCUGCCGUCGAUCCAAAGCGACACAAAAACUGACGCCAUAAUAAAAAAUUAGCAAAGGAGGGAACGCGCUCUCUGCACUGGGAGUUCUCAUUGAUAAGCUAAUCGAUCUCAUAUAUGGCCAAAAACAAAGGCACUUCAAUCAGAAUAUGAGAAACAUCAUACAUAGAAUAUCGCAGCUACAAAAACAGGCACUAGCUGAAUUUAAAGAGACAUCAUCCAGCCGAAAAGAGGCCGCACUUUACACACGGAUGAACCAGUAGCAAAUGAACAGACACAUCAUCAAAACAAGGGAACUUGCAUAAAUUCGCCAAGAACCCGUGCAAACACAAAUUUGAUUGGUAAAGCCUGACACUUUUGAAAGCACUUUCAACCCCUUGGAAACAUAGCGAACCAAAGGUGUAGGUAAAGACUCUAAUGACCCUCAAACUCCAAUAAAAGAGCCGUGGCAUAUUUUAGCUAAAAAAGCUAAAUCACAAACCGCAAAACUCCCAAAAACAAAACCGCAGGCGAUAUUAAUUUCCAAGACUGGAAAUCUUACCUAUGCUGAGAGAAAAUUAAAUCCGACUUUACCCUUAGCGAAUUCAAAAAAAAGUCACCCGAAUACGUUAAACGAAAGGCGAUGAAAUGCUGCUACAAUUAAGCAGUUCAGCAAUGUUAGCCCACUCGUUGGAAAUAAUGAAGAAAUGUCUAGGUGACCACGCAUACAUUAAAGUACUGACCCAGGAGUAGUAGAGUGUAAAGACUUGGAUGGAAUUACAACCAAGAAAGAAGUACUGUAUGCGCUACAGAGAGCACUGGCUAACAACGAUCUGACCAUCUUCUCUAUUAAGAGCCUAAGAAAGCCCUACGGGAAUACCUAAACAGCACUCAUAAAUCAUCUGUCGAGGAGGCCAGGUUACUUCAAUCCAAGAAAUUGAUGGUAAUAUGCCGUAUCCGAAAAUACAGGCAGCCACAACGGUGCUUCAGAUAUCUUGAUUAUGGUCACACAGCUAAAAGCUGCCAAUACGAAGAUAAAUCAAAACUUUGUAGAAGAUGUGAACACCAGGCUAGGAACAGAAUCAAUAACCCAAAAUGUUUGCUUCGCUUGAACGCAGAUUCUAGUGCAACUGAUUACUUCACUGGGAGCGUUAGAUGCGCGGUAUACAAGAAAGCGGGCGACUUUAACGCCUGGGCUAUUACAAAAGAACAAAUAGUAAGGGCAAAACUUUACUAGAAGCUUUUGCUUCCCUUGAUCUUGAGCUGUUAAACACCAAUCAACCCAUAUUCAACAAAGGUGGACGGCAAUCAGUGGUAGAUUUGACUUUCGUCCAAGCAAACAGAUCUCAAUGGGAAAUAAGUGAUCAUUAUGCCAUUGUACUUCAAAUCAAUGCCACACACAAGCGACGGAGUGAACCGACUCUUGUAAGUUGUUCCCUUCCAAAGGCGCUUCAAGCAUAAAAUGAAGCUAUAGCUAAAGUCCAUUAAGAAAAGCAAACGAGAUUGCUUUUUAAAACUCUGCAACGAUGUUGAAGACAAUACCUGUUAGCUCGCAUAAAGGUGGUAAUGAACCAACUCCGGCCUCGUGGGCAAAUGCGAACCUUCCCUCAACCUUGAAAAGAGUAGCAUCGGUACACUUCCCAACGCGACCCCAACUUUAUCAAGAGAUUAUAGACGUAGCCGACUGUUUCGAAUAAAGAGGUUCGAGAAGCAUUCAACCGGUUAAACCCAUCCAAAGCUCCGGGCCCAGAUGGAAUCCCUAAUAUAGCGCUGAAAAACGAAGAUUAUAUACACAUACCCUUUCCGAAUUAUGUAUGCCACAUGCAUUAAGGAAGGCUGCUUCCCUAAGCUAUGGAAAAAUCAGCUCUAAUAUUACUGCCAAAACCAAAUAAGCCUUUGACAGACCCGUCCCAUUUCCGGCCACUGUGCAUGUUAGAAUCCGCGGACAAAAGAGAAUCAAUUUAGAUUCAGGGAGACAAGAUUCACCAUGGAAGCGGUGACCCUUAUAGAGGCACUGACCGAAAAGGCUAUUAGUGGAAAACGUUGGAAGGGCGGCACAAUUCAAUAUUGUAUGGUUGUAACCCUCGACGUUGAAAAUCCUUUUAACUCAAUAUACUUUCAUAGCAUAUUGAAGUUUCUCCGUGCCUCCAUCUUGACAACAUAAACGUAAGUUACUUUAAGAAAGAAUCCAGAGCUAGUACACAAGCAACCGAUAUAAGGAAUAUAAAUUCACCGGUGAUGUACCACAAGGAUCUAUACUCAAACCGUUACUCUAGAACAUAUGAACGAUGGAAUACUGCGACUUAAAGUACCUAAAAAUGUUCCCAUCAUUGGAUUUGCAGAUGACAUUGCUGUUGUGGUGAUAGCUAAGCACAUAGAAGAUAUUGUUGCAGCAACCAGUGCAGACAACCAAUCCUGAAAUACUUAGAAAUUGUUAUUGAUGCAAGACUUUUAUUUAAGGAACACUUAGGUCAAACCAGUGAAAAAGCUUCAAAACUAUGUCUAACUUUAACCCGAAUAAUGCUAAACACCCGUGGACCAAAGCAAAAUAGGAGAAGACCUCUGGCCGGAGUUCUAAAAUAUGUUGUUCUAUAUAGUACUUAAGUUUAGAAAAAAGCACUAGAGAUAAAAUCUUACUGACGUGGCCUCUUUUCCACCUAGCCAUUUGCGCACUCAGAGUAUGCUCCGCCUUUCGUACGAUGUCGGAAGAAGCUGCUCUUAUAAUCGCGGGCCAUCCAUUAUACCUUUUGGUCAGAGAUACUAAAAACCCUGUGACGGACUUAUCACCCGGAACCUUAAGGGAAAAUGCUCGAUCAGAGACGUUGAAGAGCUGGCAAAGAUGGUGGAAAGUCUGUCGAAAUAGACGUUGAACGUUCCGGCUGAUUCUCAACAUUGACUCAUGGCUAAAAACACUACACAGCGAGGGCGAUUUUUACUUAACCCAAAUUAUAAUUUACUUAAAAUCGCAACCUAUAAUUGGUGAGAGAGCAACACAAUUUUAUUCUAUUCAAUAUUUUUGAUUUUAAUUUCUAAGCACGUGACGGCCGGGACGCUUACCUCGGAAUCUUGACUGUCCCGACCAAACCGGGACGAAUGGUCAGCUAAGUAUAGACCCAACCCCAAAAAAAUCGUACACCAAAUGGUUGAAUCAAAAGAGAAGUGCGAAAUAGCCGCCAAAAUCAUAAAAGCUCAAAGAGCCCGACAACAGCACCUGAGAAGACAACUCCGAAACUAAACGAAUAAAUAGAACACGGACCAAACAAACUCAUAUCAAAAUUACUAAAGAAUAUGGGUGGGUUUGGCGACAAACAUUACAGAGGCGGGACCAGAGACCAACAGAGGUGGGGCCAUGUAAAUGCAACUUGUAACUGAAUGCAUUGAGACUACUACAAACGUAUGAGCAUCGCUCAAACAUCCUCCUGAGGUAAUACUUGAAGGUGGUACUGGGGGGUUUUGUACAUGACGGUAGGAUGUUUAGUUCGGCUGAGGCAUGAGGUUCAGGCUUCAAUGCUACCUCCUCGUGAAAAAAACCGAAUAUUAUCUAUGCAAUACAAUAUACCCCCAUACGCAUGCAUGACAAUACAAUAUAGGUAUACACAAGUUUGUCAAGCCAAAUCUUAAGCCUUGUUAUUGUAAAAAAUACAGGCCAGAAAAGACCAAUACCUGUUAGUUGGAAAGUAUUUCGGUAAUUAAAGAAUUAUUAAAAAAAAAGAGUAUAAAAUAAAUAAAACUCUGAAAUGUCGUACAACGACUUUGACGUGAUACGGAACGAAAACCAUAGCAAUGAUACAAGGCGAACUAAUAUAUCACAGGGUAGGUUCCAAGGAGAUAGACGAUCAGUCGCAUGAGAUUCGCGAUAUCACGCGAAGAGAAGUAACUAUAUAUAGACGUAACUAUUAUAUAUACGUGAUGUAAGAUAAUGUCGAUGAAGUAAGUGAAAUUUGCGUUAAUCAAUUCAACGAACAACUUUUGGAAAAUAUUUUGGAAAUCGAAGAAGAUCCCAAAUUGGGCGAGAUAGUUUAGGAGGUAAGCACAGAAAGGAAUAAAUCGUUGUGGAAGACAAAGAAGAUACAAUUCAUUUAAUGGAAAAUGAUGUGACAUUCCUAUUAUCUAAGAAUAAAAUCACGUCUGAUGAAAGUGAUGCAAUAUUAAUUGAAAGCAAUGGAUUGAAGGAGGGCGAACUACGCUUAGAAGACAAAUGCAUUCAACGAUGAUGAUAAUAGUGUGAAUAUCGAAAUGUUGUUUUCUCUGGUAAUCGAGUAGGACGAAAAAUAUGUGGAAGAAGUCCUUACAGAAUAUAAAACCCUCAAGCGAAAUAGACGUUGAAGAUGAUGUAACAAUGGAAGAGCACGACCCAACCCUGAUAAGUCCAACUAAAUGCGACCACAAACCACGCAGGCCGACAGAAGUAGAAGAAAAAAAUAAUUUUGAAGCUGAAGGAAUCGAAGUUCAAAGCGGGUUUUGCACAAGGCAAGACAAAUGCUGAAACUGCAGCCAGUCAAGAACGAUGUCACUUAGUUGACGAACACGACACACAUACAUUACAUUACAUAACGGUUCACGAUGACUUGCAAAACCUUGUUCAUAUUAGUCGGGAGUGUUUUUUGUCGGUUUUUAUUUUUUCUCAUCGAACAUUGGUGUAUUCUUGAUUUUACGUUUUUUUAUUUGUAGCUUAGCAUACGCCUCUUUCCUGCCUCUGUCCUUAAUUAAAUUCGGCUUAUACUCCUAACUAUUAUAAGAAUACACACAUUCCACUCAUUUUAAAUAAUUACUUUUGGCCUCGACAAUAUGUUCAAAUAUCCUUAAACAUGAUUACCUUCGCUAAUGCCGAGACAAUACAAAACAUAUAUAUUGGUAAAAUGAGCCAAGCGUCAGUAAACAAACACACCACUCUACCCCUUAAAAACUGGCGCACCCUCAUAUGACGCACUACAAUACACAACACUCAUAGAUCACCACACAGGACAGCACAACACCGCACCUGUACACCACCAGCUAACAGAAGGGAUGUUCCUCUAUCAGAUUCCCCACACUUCGAUACGACAGCAAUCCUGCGAGCUACAUUUCGACAACAGUGAUCCUUCGCGUUAUUCACUCGGUCGGAAUUAUCCGCCCAUCGUUUCGUACUGGAACCCGUAAACAGUUUUUUGCGCGGUUCCACCCACCAUAUUUAAACUUAUAUUAAUUCAAAUUUAUUGUUGUUAUUUUGCGGAUAAAACGGAAGUAAUUUUAUGCAGAGGCGCGGACUUUUAUUUUUUAAUAAAGCAAGUGUUAACUAGAAAA